rnacentral:rRNA from 1 species
AGAAUCAACGCUGGCGGCGUGCCUCAGACAUGCAAGUCGAACGCGAAAGUCUCCUUCGGGAGACAAGUAGAGUGGCGCACGGGUGAGUAACACGUAGGUAAUCUACCUUCGGAUGGGGAAUAACAAUCGGAAACGGUUGCUAAUACCGCAUAAUGCAGCGGCACCUAAUGGUGACAGUUGUUAAAGCGGGGGAUCGAAAGACCUCGCGUCUGAAGAGGAGCCUGCGGCGGAUUAGCUAGUUGGUAAGGUAAUGGCUUACCAAGGCGACGAUCC